rnacentral:rRNA from 2 species
CAAUCAAACCGGGAGAUAGCUGGUUCUCCCCGAAAGCUAUUUAGGUAGCGCCUCGUGAAUUCAUCUCCGGGGGUAGAGCACUGUUUCGGCUAGGGGGCCAUCCCGGCUUACCAACCCGAUGCAAACUGCGAAUACCGGAGAAUGUUAUCACGGGAGACACACGGCGGGUGCUAACGUCCGUCGUGAAGAGGGAAACAACCCAGACCGCCAGCUAAGGUCCCAAAGUCAUGGUUAAGUGGGAAACGAUGUGGGAAGGCCCAGACAGCCAGGAUGUUGGCUUAGAAGCAGCCAUCAUUUAAAGAAAGCGUAAUAGCUCACUGGUCGAGUCGGCCUGCGCGGAAGAUGUAACGGGGCUAAACCAUGCACCGAAGCUGCGGCAGCGAACGUAUCACCCAAGACAACUUUACGGAGUUGACGAUUGACGGAGCGAAGCGACGUCAAAGCGUUCAUUAAAGUCGAGUUGGCUUAGGGAUACGUUCGUUGGGUAGGGGAGCGUUCUGUAAGCCUGUGAAGGUGUGUCGUGAGGCAUGCUGGAGGUAUCAGAAGUGCGAAUGCUGACAUAAGUAACGAUAAAGCGGGUGAAAAGCCCGCUCGCCGGAAGACCAAGGGUUCCUGUCCAACGUUAAUCGGGGCAGGGUGAGUCGACCCCUAAGGCGAGGCCGAAAGGCGUAGUCGAUGGGAAACGGGUUAAUAUUCCCGUACUUGGUGUUACUGCGAAGGGGGGACGGAGAAGGCUAUGUUGGCCGGGCGACGGUUGUCCCGGUUUAAGCGUGUAGGUGUGUGUUCCAGGUAAAUCCGGUUCACUUUAACACUGAGGCGUGACGACGAGGCACUACGGUGCUGAAGCAACAAAUGCCCUGCUUCCAGGAAAAGCCUCUAAGCAUCAGGUAACAUCAAAUCGUACCCCAAACCGACACAGGUGGUCAGGUAGAGAAUACCAAGGCGCUUGAGAGAACUCGGGUGAAGGAACUAGGCAAAAUGGUGCCGUAACUUCGGGAGAAGGCACGCUGACACGUAGGUGAAGUGAUUUACUCAUGGAGCUGAAGUCAGUCGAAGAUACCAGCUGGCUGCAACUGUUUAUUAAAAACACAGCACUGUGCAAACACGAAAGUGGACGUAUACGGUGUGACGCCUGCCCGGUGCCGGAAGGUUAAUUGAUGGGGUCAGCG